AACGCCGCUUCUGCGUAGGGAAUGCAGGACAGGAACAGACCUGGGGGGCAAACCAAGUACCGGUUUAAACAGGAGGUUUAUGUUUCCCGAAGCACAGAGCGCUCUGGAAGCAGGAUGGCCGCUCAUCCGUGUGGUCAUGGAGCCAGUGCCCUCUGCUUGUCCGCUUUGCCGCCCUCAGCACCCUGGUCACAAGGUGGUGGCCUCGGCCACAGAGCUACAUGCCUGCGGUGGGAGGGGUGGGGUGUGAGGUCUUCUCCUUUUAAAGACCUCUUUUUAUCUGGCAGGGAAGAAGAGACUGCUGGAUGUAGGGCUAGGAGUCCCUCUGAGACGGAAGCGAAAGGGCCCCACCAAAACUGCCUCUGCUCUUGCGAGGACCCUCCCCCACACCUUACACGCGCCUCCGGGAAGAGUGCAUAUCCUCCGGUGAAGGUCAAGGGGUCAGUGACCUCUUCCAGCACAGCAGUCAGCGGCUAAGGAGUGACGGGCAGGAUCACGGUUUCCAAGACCACCGACUCCCCUAGACCCCAGGCCAAGGUGAGACUCACUCUCCUCUCCUUCCCGAGUCUCCUGGAUGCUCUGUUCCUGUCUACUCUCUCUGUCUCUAAUGAGCUCUGUUCUCACUUCCUCUCGGCUCAAGUUUGAGCCCUGCGGCAUGAAGCCGCGACCCUCUGGGCCGCUCCAGCGGGGCCCCCCCUCUGUGUCCUGGAACCCAGUCGGUGGGGGUGGGGGGAGGGCCCUGCUCCCAGCUGCCCAGCCUCGGGGCCCCCAGCGCGGACAGGCCCGUGCAGGUCGCAGGAGAGCAUUCGCCGGACAGGCCCAUCAACCUCCUUUCCACCUCGGGCCGGAAGCUUUCACCAUAACAUAGUUGGUACAAGGGCAGGACCUUAGGUGCUUUUAUCUCAAAAGUGUUCCUUUUACACACUUUUUUUUCUGAUUGCAGAAGGACUAGAGGAUCAGCACAGAAAACGUGGAGAAGCACAGAGGUGACAGCGCCCUCGGGAGCGGGCCCAGCUGGCCCCUUCCCCACAGCUCGGCAGGUUUUAUGGCGAAUGUCUUUGUGAGGCUGCGGUUUAAUGCCCGUGUUACGGCCCGCUCGGAACCCCUUGCGUUUGUGUAACAUUUUAUGACCUUCCAGUGUGUUCGGCUGCGUAUUUUAUCACGUGCCAUUUCAUCUUUACAGACUCCUCACGUUGUGAGGUAGGCACAGGCAGGAAUUGGGCCCCCACUGACCAGGCGAGGAAACCCGGGUGGGGAGAGGGGACGGAAUCAGAGCUCACAUGGGCACGCCGUGUGUGGCUGCCUCCUCCCUCCCGCACCUCGCUGCCUGCCUGCCCCGGGUGUGAAGGAAGGGCCUUGGCACCCAGUGCCGAUUUGCUGUGGGCCAACGGAGGCAAGUGGACGGAAG
rnacentral:lncRNA from 1 species